CCUACGGGCGGCAGCAGUGGGGGAUAUUGCACAAUGGGGGCAACCCUGAUGCAGCGACGCCGCGUGAGCGAUGGAGUACUUCGGUAUGUAAAGCUCUGUCCGCAGGGAAGAGAAUGCCUGUACCUGACCACGAAGCCCCGGCAAAAUACGUGCCAGCAGCCGCGGUCAUACUUCUGGGGGAAGCGUUAUCCGGAUUUACUGGGUGGAAAGUGAGCGUAGGCGGCAGGGCAAGCCUGAUGGGCAAGCCCGGGGCUCAAUCCCGGGACUGGAGUGGGACCUGCCCCUCGCGGGGGCCGGAGGGGCAGGGGAAAUUCCUAGGGUAGCGGUGAAAUGCGGAGAUAUGAGGAGGGACACCAGUGGCGAAGGCGGGCUGCUGGACGGUGUACUGACGCUGAGGCGCGAAAGCGUGGGGAGCAAACAGGAUUAGAUACCCGGGUAGUC
rnacentral:rRNA from 1 species